rfam:Mesitornis unicolor contig18480, whole genome shotgun sequence.
AUAACGGCUUUUCUAAAAGCCCCAGAAGAGAGAGACAUCAAAGAAUU